rnacentral:rRNA from 2 species
AGCAGCCGCGGUAAUUCCAGCUCCAAUAGCGUAUAUUAAAGUUGUUGCAGUUAAAAAGCUCGUAGUUGAAUUUCGGGGUCAGUAGGUUGGUCAUGCCACUGGUAUGUACUGGUCUCACUGAUUCCUCCUUCCUGAUGAGCCGUAAUGCCAUUAAUUUGGUGUUGCGAGGAAUCUGGACUGUUACUUUGAAAAAUUAGAGUGUUUAAAGCAGGCUAACGCUUGAAUACAUUAGCAUGGAAUAAUGAAAUAGGACGUUCGAUCUUAUUUUGUUGGUUUCUAAGAUUGACGUAAUGAUUAAUAGGGAUAGUUGGGGGCAUUAGUAUUCAAUUGUCAGAGGUGAAAUUCUUGGAUUUAUUGAAGACUAACUACUGCGAAAGCAUUUGCCAAGGAUGUUUUCAUUAAUCAAGAACGAAAGUUAGGGGAUCGAAGACGAUCAGAUACCGUCGUAGU